rnacentral:rRNA from 1 species
UACGGAGGGAGCUAGCGUUGUUCGGAAUUACUGGGCGUAAAGCGCGCGUAGGCGGCUUUGUAAGUUAGAGGUGAAAGCCCGGGGCUCAACUCCGGAACUGCCUUUAAGACUGCAUCGCUAGAAUCCGGGAGAGGUGAGUGGAAUUCCGAGUGUAGAGGUGAAAUUCGUAGAUAUUCGCAAGAACACCAGUGGCGAAGGCGGCUCACUGGCCCGAUACUGACGCUGAGGUGCGAAAGCGUGGGGAGCAAACAGG